rnacentral:sRNA from 1 species
AUCUCAUCACCACCUGUCCUGAGCUCCAGGCAGCAGCUGAGAAUUGUAAAACCACGGUGACCCAGUCAGUGGCAGAUUCACUUAAGGCUGUCCUCUUAAAGUCACCACCCUCUUGCAUUGGCCAGUGGAGGAAGAUCUUUGAUGAUGAACCAACUAUCAUUAGAAGAGCUUUUUACUCUUUGGGCAAUUAUAUUGUGGCCUCCGAAAUAGCUAAAGAAUCUGCCAAAUCUCCUGUGAUUGUAGACAGGUACUGGCACAGCACGGCCACCUAUGCCAUAGCCACUGAGGUGAGUGGGGGUCUCCAGCACCUGCCCCCAGCCCAUCACCCUGUAUACCAGUGGCCAGAGGACCUGCUCAAACCUGACCUCAUCCUGCUGCUCACCGUGAGUCCUGAGGAGAGGUUGCAGAGGCUGCAGGGCCGGGGCAUGGAGAAGACCAGGGAAGAAGCAGAACUUGAGGCCAACAGUGUGUUUCGUCAAAAGGUAGAAAUGUCCUACCAGCGGAUGGAGAAUCCUGGCUGCCAUGUGGUUGAUGCCAGUCCCUCCAGAGAAAAGGUCCUGCAGACG